AUGAGCAAAGAGGAUAGUUGCUGGGAUGUGAUGAAGGCUGUGAAAGGAAAAAAUAAAUUAACAUCCAGUGGGCUUCUCCUCCUACUGUGCAUACAGGAAGUCUUAAGGAGACCACAGGACACUAUCAGUACUGCCUCCCAACACAUUCUGGAUCCCAAGAACCCUUCCUAUUCCUCUACAGCCUCUAAUAACUUCACUUAAAAUAAAACUCCUAGUUUGGUGUUUCUUGUGUGAAAU
rnacentral:lncRNA from 1 species